GACGAACCGUGCAAACGUUAUUCGGAAUCACUGGGCAUAAAGGGCGCGUAGGCGGCUUCAUAAGUCAGGGGUGAAAUCCGGCAGCUUAACUGUCGCAGUGCCUUUGAUACUGUGGAGCUCGAGGGAGGUAGGGGGUCUGUGGAACUUCCGGUGGAGCGGUGAAAUGCGUUGAUAUCGGAAGGAACGCCGGUGGCGAAAGCGACGGACUGGAUCUCUUCUGACGCUGAGGCGCGAAAGCCAGGGGAGCAAACGGG
rnacentral:rRNA from 1 species